CCUACGGGGGGCUGCAGUGGGGAAUAUUGGGCAAUGGAGGCAACUCUGACCCAGCAACGCCGCGUGAAUGAUGAAGGUCCUCGGAGUGUUAAGUUCUUUUCUAAGGGAAGAAGAAAGUGACGGUACCUUAGGAAUAAGCCUCGGCUAACUACAUGCCAGCAGCCGCGGUAAUACGUAGGAGGCAAGCGUUAUGCGGAAUGACUGGGCGUAAAGGGUGCGUAGGUGGUUUGACAAGUUGGUAGCGUAACUCCGGGGCUCAACUUCGGAACUACUACCAAAACUGUUGGACUCGAGUGCAAGAGGGGUAACUGGAAUUUGUAGUGUAGCGGUGGAAUGCGUAGAUAUUAGGAAGAACACCGAUGGCGAAGGCGAGAUGCUGG
rnacentral:rRNA from 1 species